ACAGAUCAGAAAUCCUUUACACUGAUCGGAAAUUCCGAAAGUUCAUAUCAGAAAUUUCCGAAAGUGCAAUGUCUCUCUCUCUGCCCUUUUCCUGAACUGAACAUACAUACCCUUUCACUUCUAUUCUUGCACUCUUUCAGUUUUCACCGCCACCUCUCACUCUCCUCUAACUCCUCUCAGGCAGGCAACCUCGGUGGUGCAUCCUCAUUGGGAAACUCUCAGCUGAGCCGGCAAGCCUUUGCCGGAGGGGCCUUCAAGGAUCAAAAUUUCUGCUAUUCCACUCGUUCCAAGGAGAGCUUCAUGGCCCACACCAAGCACAAGACUUAGAAUGGCAAGCGGCGACGGGUUCGAUCUUCCUCCUCGGAGUCAAAUGGUG
rnacentral:lncRNA from 1 species